rnacentral:rRNA from 1 species
UACGGGGGGGGCAAGCGUUGUUCGGAAUUACUGGGCGUAAAGGGCGCGUAGGCGGGAUGGCAAGUCGGUCGUGAAAUCCCCGAGCUCAACUCGGGAACUGCGUCCGAUACUGGUGGGCUUGAAUCCGGGAGAGGGAUGCGGAAUUCCAGGUGUAGCGGUGAAAUGCGUAGAUAUCUGGAGGAACACCGGUGGCGAAGGCGGCAUCCUGGACCGGCAUUGACGCUGAGGCGCGAAAGCUAGGGGAGCAAACGGG